GGAUGUGAGGGCGAUCUGGCCCCACCUGUUGCCAGGGUUGAUUUGGCUGAUCUGCUGGCUAGGCGGGUGUUCCCUUCCUGCCGCACCACUCCAGGUGCGUCUCUCCCAAAGCUGUGCGCUCUGGUGAAGAGGACGACCACCCCCGAUAGAGGAGGACCAUUUCCUCGGUCAAGGGUGUACAGUAGCUGUGCUCCCCUGCUACAACCUCCAAACAAGCUCUCAAAACUUGUAGGAGAACAAGUUUAAUUUUACACACAUUUUAAGGGGAUUCAGCUCAUGGUCACCU
ensembl:misc_RNA 7SK 7SK RNA